rnacentral:rRNA from 1 species
AUUGAACGCUAGCGGGAUGCCUUACACAUGCAAGUCGAACGGAGUGGCGAACGGGUGAGUAAUGUAUCGGAACGUGCCCAGUAGCGGGGGAUAACUACGCGAAAGCGUAGCUAAUACCGAAUACUAUCGGACGGGCCGAGGUCGGAUUAGCUAGUUGGUGGGGUAAGGGCCCACCAAGGCGACGAUCCGUAGCUGGUGUGAGAGGAUGACCAGCCACACUGGAACGGAGACACGGCCCAGACUCCUACGGGAGGCAGCAGUGGGGAAUUUUGGACAAUGGGGGAAACCCUGAUCCAGCCAUCCCGCGUGUGCGAUGAAGGCCUUCGGGUUGUAAAGCACUUUUGGCAGGAAAGCGGUACCUGCAGAAUAAGCACCGGCUAACUACGUGCCAGCAGCCGCGGUAAUAC